rnacentral:rRNA from 1 species
UACGGAGGGUGCGAGCGUUGCUCGGAAUCACUGGGCGUAAAGGGUGCGUAGGCGGGUCUUUAAGUCAGGGGUGAAAUCCUGGAGCUCAACUCCAGAACUGCCUUUGAUACUGAAGAUCUUGAGUUCGGGAGAGGUGAGUGGAACUGCGAGUGUAGAGGUGAAAUUCGUAGAUAUUCGCAAGAACACCAGUGGCGAAGGCGGCUCUCUGGGACGGUACUGACGCUGAGACGCGAAAGCGUGGGGAGCGAACAGG